CCCGCUGAACUUAAGCAUAUCAAUAAGCGCAGGAAAAGAAACCAACAGGGAUUCCCCUAGUAAUGGCGAAUGAAGCGGGAAAAGCUCAAAUUUGAAAUCUGGCUGUUCUGCAGUCCGAAUUGUAAUUUCGAGAGACAGCUUUGGCUUCCCACGCUGCCCAAGUUCCUUGGAGCAGGACGUCACAGAGGGUGAGAAUCCCGUGUGUGGCAGCGGAAAGGGGGCUGUGUAUAGCGUCUUCAAAGAGUCGAGUUGUUUGGGAAUGCAGCUCAAAAUGGGUGGUAAAUUUCAUCUAAAGCUAAAUAUUGGCGAGAGACCGAUAGCGAACAAGUAGAGUGAUCGAAAGAUGAAAAGAACUUUGAAAAGAGAGUUAAACAGUACGUGAAAUUGUUGAAAGGGAAGCGCUUGGCGUUAGACAGAGCGGUGUGGAUUUAUUUGCGCUGCUGGGCCAACAUCAGUUUCUGGCGCGUGGACAAAGAUCUCUGGAAUGUGACUGUUUCGGCAGUGUUAUAGCCAGAGGUGGCAUGUGCGCAGCUGAGACUGAGGACCGCGGCCCGCAAGGGUCUAGGAUGUUGGCAUAAUGGCGCUCAGCGACCCGUCUUGAAACACGG
rnacentral:rRNA from 1 species